rnacentral:misc_RNA from 1 species
CUUUAUUGAUUGAAUGGUUUUUUUCUUCUCGGUGAGCUGUUUGUUGUUGUUGCUUUUAGUUAGUAACGACGUUGUUUGAAUUGUUAGUUUAAAACGAGUCAUUAGAUGAAGUAUUUGUGGAAUCCCUCAAAAUCUCUUCGGAGCAAAUCAUAUGCAAGAAGUCAGUUCAAUUAAAUUUUAUUAGUAUAAUUCAAUUCAAUUUAU